GGCAAAAAACAUAGCGCAGCCCCUGCUCCUACCCCAAAGCCAGGGGUUGGCUGGCAGGACCGGUUGGCAUACCAUUUGUAGGUAGCUUUGGCAACGCCUAACUGCUUCUGGAGUUCUUGACGUACCUGCUGGAUGUGGGUUCUGAGUUUGGUAAAAGUGGCCAUCAAUGAUUUAGAAGGGAUCUCUGGAUGAGCACAAAGAUGGAAACCACAGUUAGCAAAGAAGGGAGUCUGCUUGGUGGAGGCAUGCAUAGCAUUGUUAUAUGCAAACUCAGCAUGAGGGAUUAGGGACAGCCAAUCAUCCUGAGGAUAGUUUAGGAAGAAAUGUAGGUACUGUUCAAGGACCUGAUUGACACGCUCUGCCUGCCCAUUGAUGCUGGAGUGAUAGGCUGUUAAGGUUAGGUCUUGAUACUCGGGAAGUGUAGAAAUUCUUGCCAGAAGCAGGAAAUAAACUGGAAUCCUCAAUCAGACACCAUGCCCAUUGGGAUUCUGGCAUAGUCUUUCAAGAAUGCUACACACAUGUUGGUCAUGAAGAGCUGGGUCUUUGGAGAAAAUCAGAAUGUGAUCAAGGAUAUGCACAGAGAAAAUUCCAGCUGAGAGAAACUUAGCACAGCUGCUACCAGCUCGGUCUGAAGAAAUCUCCCUUUGUAGAGCUAUACCCAGUGGACAAAAGGAGUCAUCUUAUAUGAAAGAGACCAAGUCAACUUGUAUGUAUUCAUGUAUAGAGAAUUAACUCAGUUUUAAAAUACCAUUUUCUAGUAGUGCCUCCUUGAAAUAGUUUGUUCUGUAUGGGAGCUACAAGUGAUCAAUACCUCCGAGAACAAAACAAUACUGAAAACAAGGUUAUAAAUGUCUCGUUCAAACCACACAGUGAGUCACCAUCCAGAACCAGAACUCAAGGGACUUCCAGCCCCAAGCUCUAGACACCAAAGUUGCCUCAUUUUGUACAUAGAAAAAGAACACAAAAGUGCAUCUUGCCCUGUGACAAGGCUCCAGUUGCAAAACUGAAAUCCAUCACACGAACUCCCUCUUCUCCCACAACUAACAGUGGCAAAUCUUGGGUAACCCACCCACCCAUUCCAGAAUCCAUUAAACCCUCCUCCUCACUCUAUCUGAGGGACCUGAAAAAAUUAUUUUGUUUGGGGAAAUAAUUCAGGAAGACGAUGUGGGCAAGAAGAGCCACAAACAACAAACAAGGCAGAUAUAAAUCCAGAUAAAAUAUUAAAAUCGUUAAAGGGUUGCUGCUCCCCGAAGGUUGGAAAAAAUGAAGACAGUUAAUUAAAAGCAAUCUCUGCACAGUGCUGAGCCAGCCAGCCCUGAUAAAUCAGCGACUAGGACUGCAGUUGUAGAGGUCAAUGGAGUAAGGAGGCUGGGAAGGGGAGGGAAGAAAGGUGAGAGAAGAGAAAACAUUUAGCUCAAAUUACCAACAAAAAUGAAUUAGAGUCAAUGACGAAGUUUCCUAGAUAUUUCCCUUCCAGAGAUUGUGGGUUUGAUUCUCAUUUCCUUAACACCUAUUUCACAAUGAUACACCAGUGAUCUCAAUGAAGUUACUCCACACCAGCAGGAGAGCAGAGAGAGAAAAAACUGAGGUCUCAUUCUACCUGAGGGGUGGUAGCAUCACUCUCAUCAGCAUGAUGUCCAAGCACCGUACAGAACUAUCAAGUUUUCCAGGCUGGCACAUCCCAGGUGACAAAGAAAUGAAAGUUGAGGGUUUGUUGGGAGUUUGUUUAUCACCAGCCACCAGGAAGUUGCAGCAGAGACAUCUCAAUACUGCCCAAACUGCAGUCAAACCACUCAGAGAGGAGAGAGCUCAUUCUGAAGUAUCGCCACCCUUUUCUCACACCUGCCAGGUCUCUCAAACUGUGCAGGCCCAAAUAUAAGGGGCACUGGCCAGUUUAUUUAAACUGUUAUUGAUUUGUUGAUGUUAAAUAUUAAACAAGUAUAUGUUGAUAAACUGACAAGUAAAAUGAAAACGAUAA